AUUGAACGCUGGCGGCAGGCCUAACACAUGCAAGUCGAACGAGUGGCGGACGGGUGAGUAAUGUCUGGGAAACUGCCUGAUGGAGGGGGAUAACUACUGGAAACGGUAGCUAAUACCGCAUACCAUCAGAUGUGCCCAGAUGGGAUUAGCUAGUUGGUGGGGUAACGGCUCACCAAGGCGACGAUCCCUAGCUGGUCUGAGAGGAUGACCAGCCAUACGGGAACUGAUACACGGUCCAGACUCCGACGGUAGGCAGCAGUGGGGAAUAUUGCACAAUGGGCGCAAGCCUGAUGCAGCCAUGCCGCGUGUAUGAAGAAGGCCUUCGGGUUGUAAAGUACUUUCAGCGUGGAGGCGUUACACGCAGAAGAAGCACCGGCUAACUCCGUGCGAGCACGCGCGGUUUC
rnacentral:rRNA from 1 species